rnacentral:lncRNA from 1 species
GAGGAUAUAAAGCUAGCGAAUGGUGCGAAAGGAGGCGGUAACCCUAGACUUUCCCACGUGUGCGUGCAUGCAUCGUGUGAGCCAAUUUUUAUGGCCCCCGCGCGCUCGCUAUCGUCCCGCGCGAGCCAGGCCGCCAAGAAACGGAUUUCAUUUUUGCUCCACCGGACCUUUUGCAUGCGUUGGGCCAGGCCUAGCACUGAGUGCAGGCAACCAAACUCCCCGAAACUUGCAUCCCGCAGGCCAGGCUGGGCCAAAUGCAACGAACCAAACGCGCCAAACAACCCUACAUCCAGCAUGCUUGUUUUCUCCCAUGGGAAGAGCAGCCUCGUGCUUCUAAUUUUUAGAGCUGCAAAAGACUAGCUCACUACUUAAUUUGAU